UACGGAGGAUCCAAGCGUUAUCCGGAUUUAUUGGGUUUAAAGGGUGCGUAGGCGGCCCGUUAAGUCCGUGGUGAAAGCCAACAGCUCAACUGUUGAACUGCCAUGGAUACUGACGGGCUUGAGUACAAACGAGGUAGGCGGAAUGGAUCGUGUAGCGGUGAAAUGCAUAGAUACGAUCCAGAACACCGAUUGCGUAGGCAGCUUACUAGGCUGUAACUGACGCUGAGGCACGAAAGCGUGGGGAGCGAACAGG
rnacentral:rRNA from 1 species